rnacentral:rRNA from 1 species
GAUGAACGCUGGCGGCGUGCCUAAUACAUGCAAGUCGAGCGAACGGACGAGAAGCUUGCUUCUCUGAUGUUAGCGGCGGACGGGUGAGUAACACGUGGAUAACCUACCUAUAAGACUGGGAUAACUUCGGGAAACCGGAGCUAAUACCGGAUAAUAUUUUGAACCGCAUGAUUCAAAAGUGAAAGACGGUCUUGCUGUCACCUAUAGAUGGAUCCGCGCUGCAUUAGCUAGUUGGUAAGGUAACGGCUUACCAAGGCAACGAUGCAUAGCCGACCUGAGAGGGUGAUCGGCCACACUGGAACUGAGACACGGUCCAGACUCCUACGGGAGGCAGCAGUAGGGAAUCUUCCGCAAUGGGCGAAAGCCUGACGGAGCAACGCCGCGUGAGUGAUGAAGGUCUUCGGAUCGUAAAACUCUGUUAUUAGGGAAGAACAUAUGUGUAAGUAACUGUGCACAUCUUGACGGUACCUAAUCAGAAAGCCACGGCUAACUACGUG